UGGGACUACCAGGGUAUCUAAUCCGGUUUGCUCCCCACGCUUUCGCGCCUCAGCGUCAGGAAUAGCCCAGAAAGCCGCCUUCGCCUCUGGUGUUCCUCCCGGUAUCUACGCAUUUCACCACUACUCCGGGAAUUCCGCUUUCCUCUGCUACCCUCAAGCCUGUCAGUUUCCCAUGACCCCUCCCAGUUGAGCCGGGAGAUUUCACAUAAGACUUAACAAACCGCCUACGCGCUCUUUACGCCCAGUAAAUCCGGACAACGUUUGAACCCUACGUAUUACCGCGGCUGCUGGCACGUAGUUAGCCGGUCCUUAUUCGUCAGGUACAGUCCUUACUCUUCCCUGAUAAAAGAGGUUUACAACCCGAAGGCCUUCUUCCCUCACGCGGUGUCGCUGCAUCAGA
rnacentral:misc_RNA from 1 species